rnacentral:snRNA from 1 species
GGAUAUGAAAGCAAUUUGUAAUAUCAGUCAAUUGAUCACCAAUGCCAAUUCAGCUGAUCUGGAUAACUAGACAUGAGUCCCUGUUUUCUGGCAACUCUCCAUGUGCACAUGUCCCAAUUUUUCAUGUUCUGUCAAGAAGCACGCCCUUCCUUGGCAGAGAACAGUGUAUAAGCAGCAU